rnacentral:lncRNA from 1 species
CUGAAGCCAAAAAGGAUUGAAUACAUCCCCCUAUCCUCUAGCCCUGAAGAUCUCAACUCCAAAAGAAACUGCUGACUAGGAAAUGUUUAAUUGCUACAGGGCAUCUUGUUGUGUUGCUGUAUUUUUUUACAAACCAUAAAAGAAUUGCAUUUUAUCCGUAUGUAUUUACUGCAUCACCAUUGUUCAACUAUAAUCUAUACCUUGGCACUUGGAGAAAUGAGGCAAGAAGUGGUGCUGGUAAUGGUCUUAAUUAAAUCAACUAUUUAUGAUUUCCUCUUAAAGGUCUUUAUUUGCACAGCCUGGAGGAAAAACGCAGCAGGAUGGCAGCAGUCAAAGCAGUAGAAGAACAGAUUGAAUUAGCAUGGCAGUCCUAAAAUGCCAGUUUUACUCUACAAGUCUCCCUUCAACUGAGCACUAAAUUGGAUUUUAUUGGGCAAGCCCCAACCACCCAGUGCUUUUGUGAGUCUCAUGGAGCACAGCAUUAUUCCUUAUUCAUCUUUAUUUGGAAUGGUAGGGGAUAAUAAGGGAGGCUAACAGAUUUUCCUAAAUAGAGAUCUUCUUCUUACUAUGUAGAAAUUAAAUUUAUCUCUUUUCAGUGGGAAUUCUUCUUGCCUUGCCUUAGUAUCUCUAUAUCCUAUGGCAUAUGGAAGUUCCCAGGCUAGAGGUCCAAUAGAGCUGCAGCUAUCAGCCACAGUCACAGCCACAGAAAUGCCAGAUCCGAGCUGUGUCUGCAACCUACACCACAGUUCAUGGAAGCGCCAGAUCCUUUAACCCGCUGAGCAAGGCCAAAGAUCAAACCUGAGUCCUCAUGAAUAUUGGUCAGAUUCUUAACCCGCUGCAACACAACAGGAACUCCCAGAGUGCUGAUUUGUUGCAAUUUACUUAGAGCACACUGGGACGAAAGGGCAACAUGAAUGCACAGAAACCCAAAGUAACCUCCAGUCUGGGGUAACUGGCAAUGAUAGAAGGAAGUAAGGAUAGAAAUAAGUUUAUGGAAGUAAAAAUGGAUGUCAUUUGUAUUUCAGUUUAAAAUACUUGAAAUAGUCUGAGGAGACUGUGGAGAGCAGUGGCAGUUUUAUCUUUCAGAUGAUGUCACUAGGAUCAACAUUAAAAUCAGUUCAUUAAACAUUAAAAUUCAACAUUAAAGUUCACCUGGAGAAUACUCACAAAUUGGUCAGCAUCUCAGAUGGAUUAGGAGAGAACUAGGAAAGAAGAGGAGUUAUUAAAACCAGAUGGCGGAUACCCCACAGCACAGAGUCUCAAGUCAGUAUUGGGGAGAUUACCAUGCAAAAUCGUUUGGCUUUAAAGGCCAUUAGAUGUGGAGUUCUCUUUUGGCACAGUGGGUUAAGGAUCUGGCAUUGCCACUGCUGUAGCUCGGGUUGCUGCUAUGGUGCAGGUUCCAUCCCUGAUGCAGGAACUUCUGCAUACAGCAGGCAUGAACAAACAAACAAACAAACAGGAAAAUAACGUAAAGGCCAUUGGGGGAAUCAUGAGGUUGCAGGUUCAAUCCCUGGCCUUGCUCAGUGGGUUAAGGAUCCCAAGUUGCCAUGAGCUGUGGUUGUAGGUCACAGACGCCCUUGUGGCUGGGAUCCUACAUUGCUGUGGCUGUGGCAUAGGCCGGAAGAUACAGCUCCGAUUCGACCGCUAGUCUGGGAACCUACAUAUGCUGUGGGUGAGGCCCUGAAAAGAAGAAAAAAAAAAAAAAGCCAUUAACACACAGCUAUAUAAUUUUAAAUACUAGGUCAAGGAUUAACCAAGCUCACAUUAUUAAUAUUCAAUAAACAUCCUUAAAAAUGUCAAGGCAGAAUAACUAUCAGGCCAGGUUCCCCUUCUCUUUCCUCUGUGUAGGAACACCUUUGAAGUAAAUGAAGCUUUUUGCUUGGAAUAGAUGAAGAGACUCAUGUCUUGGGAUGGGAAUCAGACUGAAAAAGAAGUUAACCAGAGAGAGAUUUUCUAACUUGAUAGUGAGUUAAGUGAUUGAGAUCUAAUUUAGCUAUUCUACCAGCUUGUGGUCCAAUCUUUUCAUUUUAUUAUGCCUUUGACUUUUCUGUCUGCAAGAUCAGAAGCAGUAAUCCAACACUGACAUGUGAAAAAUUCCAGGUUAUUUCACCAAGUCUUGCAAAUUAUCAUAGACACUUGUGCCUAAGGCUUGAAAGAAAUUAGACCAUGCCUAGAAUAAAUCAUGACCCUGGAAAAUGUUUCAUAAAAAUUAAAACUAUUGCCCCUGGCAACUAUACCUGACUUCUUAAAGCCUAUGAUAUUCACUAAAAUUAGCUCCUGACACUAUUAAGUGAGAGAAAGACUGUGGACCAUUUUGUAGAUUAAUAAAGCUUGUUGACUAAUUGUUUAAAUCUAUCUAUAAAACAAUAUUUAAAGACACUUCUUAGAUUCAAGAAAGAAAAGUCAAAUCCAUCUCAACAUGGGACAGAUUUUCUCUUUCUUUAAAGAAUUUUCUUUAAAGAAAUUCAAUAACAUCCUUCAUUAACAGACCCAAGUUCCCUAUAUAUUCAUGUAGCUGUUAAAAUAAAUUGUUAAGAAAACUGAAGCUAGAGCACUUUGCUAGCAGAAGGUACCAUGCAAAUGCACACUUAAUAUUGUAGGCGUGGCUCUGCCAGUGGUUUCAAGCUCACCAAUUCUGGUUUCUAGGGAUUCUAAUCUUUUGACCUUCUUCAACAUUGGAUGAAAGUAGGACACUUCUUCCUCAAAAGGAGGUCUUAAGAUUUUGAAAUUGAAAUGUUUUAAUAACUUUCCAAAUUUUAAAACAAAAGCUAAAACAGUAGGUUUUUUAAAAAGAAAGGCAAACAGAGGAGUUAAUAGCCAUGCUGAUAACAGUUUAGCAAUUCUGAUGCUAGGCAGGUACAGGCAGGAGUUGGUUAUAUACAGGAGUGUUCUCAAAUGGUUCAGAAAUGUGAGCAAUUGGGAAUCUGGGUAAAAAGUACACUGGAACGCUGUGUAUUUUACUACAACUGUUAGAAAAAUUGAAAUUAUUUCAAGAUAAACAGAGUUUUUUUUUUAAAUAGAAGUCAUUUUUAAAACAACUACUCCCCUGAAAAAAAGUCAAAUGUAAAAAAAAUUUCUUAAAAAAGUCAUAUAUUUUUCUAGAUCACUAAUUCCCAAAGGGUGGUUCUGAACCAUCAUCAUCACGCGAGAACUUGUAGGAAUGCAAGUGUCACGUUUAGUGAAGAAUCUGUUACUGGCUGUAAGAGAAACUUUGCCAGACUCAGAAGCCAAAUGGCAGAACUAACAUGCAAAUGUCUAUUGGUUAGUGGGGAGACAGAUAGAGGCAGGAAUCUAAGUGUAAAACCUGAGGGAGUGGGUGCACAGGCAGUAUGGGGACGACCUGUGUAUCUUAAUGGAGAAAUCUCACUACUCAGGGGAACUAAAAACCAAGAACCUGCCUUUGAACAAGUUGGCAGGGAAAAGGCAAAACUUGCUUAGGAGUUCCUGUCGUGGCACAGUGGUUAACGAGUCCGACUAGGAACCAUGAGGUUUCGGGUUCGAUCCCUGGCCUUGCUCAGUGGGUUAAGGAUCCGGCAUUGCCAUGAGUUGUGGUGUAGGUUGCAGAUGCGGCUUGGAUCCCGAGUUGCUGUAGCUCUGGCGUAGGCCGGUGGCUACAGCUCCGAUUAGACCCCUAGCCUGGGAACCUCCAUAUGCUGUGGAAAGCGGCCCUAGAAAAGGCAAAAAGACAAAAAAAAAAAGAAGAAGAAGAAAUUUGCUUAAAGAGCUUGUCUAAUUAAAUAGAGGGUUACAUAUGAUGAACUAAUUAUACUCUCUGAUGGAUGAAGAAGCUCUAGUUCUGGAAGCCAACAAAACCUCAAAUCGAGCGAAGACUCCAUUUUGCUUGUUAGUCUAGGCUUCUUUAUUGGCACUGGAAACACAUCCCCCGAGAUAAAAAAAAGUAUUUCUCUCUGUGUACAAGAUGCAGAUUAUUUUUACAGAGCAUGAUGAUGAACUACAAUCUUUAUUAAUAUAAAACAAAUGCAAAUACAAAGCAUCUUUUCUUUUUACAAAACUGUUAUUUACUCCAUAUUUCCAAUGUUAAAAAAUGUUAGUGAGUUUUAUUCAUGUGAGAUAAAUACAACCAAAAAUAUGAAAGCCUUCUCUUAUCUGCAUUGGAACAGAGAAAUUGAACUAUAAGUUGUAGAGAUGUUAAUUACUGAUGGCCAAGGACUCAUACAUGACGACAUCCUUAUGAGUGUGUUAUCCUUAUGAGUCAUCAUAGGGUAUCCUUAUGAAUAAGUGUGUUAGGGGUGGAAGGAUUGACAAGAUAUGAGGAGGGGAAAUUUGCAGAGAUGUUUGCAGAUAAAGGCAAUGAUUCUGUUCAACAUGCAUUAAAGAAUGAAGUCCAGAAAAGAAAAAGAAAAAAAGACCUUGGAGCUUUAAGAGAAAGUUUAAUCCAGUAUUAGAGCUAUUUGAAUGAAAAAAAUAGAAAAUGAAUGGAAGUAAGAGUCUAAUCAACCUAGGAUACUGGUUGAAAGUGGAUUUACACUAGAUUAAAUAAAUAGCCUCAAAGCAUGCCAUCCAGACUCACUUCAUCUCCUCUGACAUCUACCUGUGCCUAGAAUUCACCUUGUUAGGUUCUGAGGAACUUGACACUCUCAGGAUCAUGUCUUUUGAGCUUGGGAGAAAAACUAAUGAAGAGACAUUCAGAAAACUCCACAGGCAAUCUCUGAUGGCCUGACUGGAUCCUUUGCUCCUUUCACCAAGCAUUAUAGAAGGAAGACAGACCAUUAGUUGGCCAAGACUGGGUGCUCAGUUCCAUGGCCGUGGGGACAGAGGACUUUGAUAGGCAAGCCCCAAUCACCUAGAAAAAUUGUGAGUGAGGCUCUGUUACCAAAGGGAGGUGAGCAAACUAUAAGCAGAAAGUGAAAAGAGAUUGUGUAUGGACAGAAACAGCAAGUGUCCACUAUCUUAGUAACUAGGUGGAAAGUGACAAGGAGAUGAACUAACAUGUGGAAUUUUUGGUUAAAAAAUAGAACAGAACUGAGAAAUACUUAAGCAGCAACAUUGACAGGACUUGGCAAGUGGCCAAUAGAAUUGUGGGUAGCCAGUUCUGAACUAGAUAGUAUAGCAUUUGAAUUUUCUGUAAGGAAUAGAAAUUGUGUAAAUAUCGGGA